CUCAAAAGGGCUCGGGUAGGAGCUAGCGGCCAUGACGGAAGGGUUCCGGCACCGAUCCUCGGGUCACGCCACCGGCGAGAGGAAAGCGGGCCAUGUUUGUUCCUCCUUCAGCCUGCCAUUUAAGCAAAAAGACAAGGAUGGAACGCAGCAGGAGGCUCUCAGCUCUGUGUAGGAGGAGGUCGUCCAUGGUCCUCGGGUCCGGGUCCUCCUCGGCAGAGAUGCUCUGUGCUCUGCACGCCAUCAUCAAGUUGCAGAUCAGGAAGGAAGUCAGGAAGAACAGGCAUGUCGACUUCAUGGUGUCUCACUUGGAUGCCUGUUACUGCAUAGUCGAGGCAAGAUAGCAAGUUGUUCAAAGAUCUUCCACUGGGAAUAUAAAAAAAUGUUUUUGUCCAGAAAUAGGAUAUUACCUGUUGGGGAAACGGAAGCUCACCUGACUUCACCUCAGUGCCUUUGAAGUGGUCAGUUGCAAAGGUGGAUGAUGCUUGCUGGCAGCUUCCAACAGUGGUGCUCGCUGAGCCGUAUAUGGCCAACUUUGAGUGAGCACGCAACAUUGCGCUCGUGCUUUAUACCGGAUGCUCUCUGUCCACGUCACACUCACGCUCGAGUCUUCUUUUGGUCCCGUUGGUCCCCGUUGAUGUCAUCAAGCCGUGCGCAAGUGUGUGUCCUUAAGGGGGCAUCGACGAAUGGAGCCAUUGAAAAUUCAGGCAGUCAAACGGGGCAUAAUGCAAAUAGCAGCAGAAGACUGUGUUCAGCUUGAUGCGGUGUUCACUCAAAUAUGUGCAAAUUAGGAAUUAUGUGUCAGUAUCAGGGGGUGGUGGGAUUAUGAGGCACUGAAAUGCCAUGGAUAGAAUGCCCAGAGUGUUGGUUGAUUGUGCCGCCUAAUCCUUCUCUCCUCUUCCAACCGGGCUCUGAGUUGGAACAGACUUUCUUCCAAUGAUAUAAAGUACGGAGGUGCUGUAUGUAGAGAAUACCUGUCAAAAACUAGUGGAGA